rnacentral:rRNA from 1 species
UACGAAGGGAGCUAGCGAUGUUCGGAAUUACUGGGCGUAAAGCGCGUGUAGGCGGCUCGGAAAGUCGGGUGUGAAAGCCCUGGGCUUAACCCAGGAAGUGCACUCGAAACUUCCGAGCUGGAGUCCUGGAGAGGAAGGCGGAAUUCUCGGUGUAGAGGUGAAAUUCGUAGAUAUCGAGAGGAACACCUGCGGCGAAGGCGGGUUGCUGGGCCGACACUGACGCUGAUGCGCGAAAGCCAGGGGAGCGAACGGG